GAUGAACGCUGGCGGCGUGCCUAAUACAUGCAAGUCGAGCGAACGGACGAGAAGCUUGCUUCUCUGAUGUUAGCGGCGGACGGGUGAGUAACACGUGGAUAACCUACCUAUAAGACUGGGAUAACUUCGGGAAACCGGAGCUAAUACCGGAUAAUAUUUUGAACCGCAUGGUUCAAAAGUGAAAGACGGUCUUGCUGUCACUUAUAGAUGGAUCCGCGCUGCAUUAGCUAGUUGGUAAGGUAACGGCUUACCAAGGCAACGAUGCAUAGCCGACCUGAGAGGGUGAUCGGCCACACUGGAACUGAGACACGGUCCAGACUCCUACGGGAGGCAGCAGUAGGGAAUCUUCCGCAAUGGGCGAAAGCCUGACGGAGCAACGCCGCGUGAGUGAUGAAGGUCUUCGGAUCGUAAAACUCUGUUAUUAGGGAAGAACAUAUGUGUAAGUAACUGUGCACAUCUUGACGGUACCGAAUCAGAAAGCCACUGCGAACUACGU
rnacentral:rRNA from 1 species